CCAAUAGCGUAUAUUAAAGUUGUUGCAGUUAAAAAGCUCGUAGUUGAAUUUCGGGAUCAAUAUAUCGGUCGUGCCAUUGGUACGCACUGGUAUCAUUGGUUUCUCCUUUCUGACGAACCAUGAUGUCAUUAAUUUGGUGUUAUGGGAAGUUAGGACUGUUACUUUGAAAAAAUUAGAGUGUUUAAAGCAGGCUUUAGCUUGAAUACAUUAGCAUGGAAUA
rnacentral:rRNA from 1 species